CUCGUGAUCCGCCCACCUUGGCCUCCCAAAGUGCUGGGAUUACAGACGUGAGCCAACGUGCCCGGCCUACUUUUCACCAUGGAAUUGGAAAAGAAACAUUUGGGAAUCAGCUGGAAAAAUGACAACUAGCCCAAUGGGGAAAACCCACAGGGACUCAGCAGGUUUGUUCAUGCUUCCUGUUUAUGUGAAGGAGUCCCAGAUCACCUCCAAAAGAAAUCUGUUUUUAAAAAGGAAGGGGAUCCAGUGGGGUAUUCUCUGCCAGCCUCCAAAGUUAUGGAGAUGUGGUCAAUGCCGAUACAAUAUAAGCUUAGAAUCACAGGGGCAGGAGAACAAGAUCAUUCUUAGUCAAUUAAAAACGUAUUCUCUAGAUUACUAAUCUUUGCUGGAUUCCAUGGAAGAAAACAAUAAGAAUGUGAAGUUUAAAAAAACAAAAUAUAUCAUUCCAUUGUCCCCUGGCUUGCUAGUUUCUGAUAAGCAGCCCCUUGCCUGAGACUUUGUUCCUCUGUUUAAUUUUUUUUUUUAUCCCCCUCUCUGUCUCUUUUUAACGAUACUCUUCUUGUCACUGGUUUUCAGAAACUGGAUUACAAAGUGCCCUGGGCAGAGCAACUGUAAGGCCUAAAUAAACCAGGUAAACGUGGCAAGACAGAAUUCUGCAAUAUAUUAGCCGAGUUUCUCCCCAUAUGCACGCUCCUUCCCAACCACAAUUUCUAUCACCUUUGCCCUCUGUUCUCUCAAAGUGUGUGUGGCCUUCCGGUAUACCAAGAAUGAGGAAGACAGGGGCUCCAGGGAACAGAGCAUCCCAAAGCAGACAGAAGCACAGGCCACCUCUGGCAGAGGCAUGUGGGGAAUGUGUUUGGUCAUGUAGGUAGACAAUAAUAUUCAGAAAGGUUUUAUAAUUCUGUUGAAGGAUUAAGGAAGAAUUAACAACAAACCAAGCAAACAAAAAUGAUUAGCUCCCUGCUUUCAAUCCUCCCUGCGACUGGCUACUUUUAGGAUCCUGCUGAUUGGUGCGUUUUACAGAGCGCUGAUUGGUGCAUUUAGUAGAGUGCUGAUUGGUGCGUUUUUACAGAGCACUGAUUGGUGCAUUUUACAAUCCCCUGCUUGCUACAGAGAGUUCAAUGGCAUAGGAGUAAGGGCAUGGUGUCUGCUAUUAAGUUUUAAAUAGUUCAAAAAAUAGUAGCAGAACUGUGAGCCAAGUAAACCUUUUUAUAAAUUACCCAGCCUCUGGUAUUCCUUUAUAGCAACGCAACAAUGAAUGAAGAAGGCAGGCUCUGAGACCUGCUCGGUGGCAAAGAGGCAGAAAGAAAGUGCUGGUGGGGUGAAGGUGAGGAUGAGAGCCACUCCUGCCAAGCAGAUCGCUGGGCGAGGGGCCUGCCGCGGGGACUCAGAGGAUGGGGAGGCAGAAUGGUAGCAUGUGUUUCGGUAGUGGUGGUAAUUACAAUACUCACAUCAGAGGGCUGUUGUGAACAUUAAGUGAGAUAAUUCAUGCCAGGUGUUUGGAAGAGUAGCUGGCCCAGAAAAAAGGCAUAUUGUGUUAUUAUAGAUGCACGUACACACACACAGAAUUUUACAGACCACUUUAAUUAUUUAGUUACUGUAAAUAAUUAUUUAUUAUAAUUAAUACACUAUUAGAUAAUAUAUUAUACAAAAUAUAUAAAAUGUAUUACAUUAAUAUAUUAUAUGUAAUUAUAAUUGUAUGUAUGAUAACUACCAUGCUCGGGCUGGUCUCAAAUUCCUGGACAUUUAUUAUGAAAUACACAUCCAAUAUUAUUAACCUUUAUAUAUUAUGUAUUAAGUUAACAGACAAGUAUUUUAAAUUUGUCAAAUUGAAUAUUACCAUGUAUCAAUAUGCGCUGUGUGCACAGGGACCUGGAGUGGAGAGAAGGGUGCAGAGGAAGCUCAGGAUGCCGUUGGCCGGGACUUAGCGGAGUUGGAGCUGCGUUCUGUAGAGGAGGCAGGGAUGACAGAGGAGGCCCCGUCCUAGUGGAGGUCUCAAUCCACAAGGAGGCAGGCAUUGCAGGGGUCUCACCCUGGGAUGAGCAUUACAGAAGGCAAGUGAGGGCCCCCCAGCACAAGGCAAGGUGGGGCCGUGGCCUGAGGCAAGAGAGGAGUCCCAUCCAAGGGAAGGUCAGGGGGAAGGCAGUGUUCACUGGGCGAACUGGACAAUGACCUCAGCUUGGACCUGGGUAGCAGAGAGCACAGCAAGAAGCUGGGGCUGCAGACCAGAGGGCUGGGUGUCGGCCUCUCGCUGGUGAUGAGACAGGCGGCUUCUGCGAAGGGCCAGGGAUGAUGGAGGGGAAUUGGAUCCUGGAGCAGGAAAGUAGGGCAUGGUUAGGGGCUGAUGGAGACCUGGCAGUGGCACAAUCUCGGCUUAAUGCAACCUCCACCUUCCGGGUACAAGCGAUUCUCCUGCCUCAGCCUCCCAAGUAGCUGGGACUACAGGCGCACACAUCACGCACGCCCAGCUAAUUUUUGUAUUUUUAGUAGAGAUGGGGUUUUACCAUGUGGGCCAGGAUGGUCUCGAUCUCCCGACCUCAUGAUCCUCCCAUUUUGGCCUCCCAAAGCUCUGGGAUUACAGGUGUGAGCUACUGUGCCCGGCCCACUUAGUUAUUUUAAGAUAGGGUCUUGCUCUGUUGUCCGAGCUGGAGUGCAAUGGUGCUAUCAUAGCUCACUGCAACCUCGACCUUCUAGGCUCAAGUGAUCCUCCUGCCUCAGCCUCCUGAGUAGC
rnacentral:lncRNA from 1 species